GAGACGCUGGCGGCGUGCCUAACACAUGCAAGUCGAGCGGAGCUAGUCAUUGGAAAUUUUCGAAUGGAAGAUGGCAAGCUUAGCGGCGGACGGGUGAGUAACGCGUGGGCAACCAACCUUGAUCAGGGGGACAACAUUGGGAAACCAGUGCUAAUACCGCAUAGCUCUAACGGAUGGCAUCAUCGGUUAGAGAAAGAUUUAUCGGAUCAAGACGGGCCCGCGUCUGAUUAGCUAGUUGGUGAGGUAACGGCUCACCAAGGCGAUGAUCAGUAGCCGACCUGAGAGGGUGACCGGCCACACUGGAACUGAGACACGGUCCAGACUCCUACGGGAGGCAGCAGUGGGGAAUAUUGCACAAUGGGGGAAACCCUGAUGCAGCAACGCCGCGUGAGCGAAGAAGGCCUUCGGGUCGUAAAGUUCUGUUCUGGGGGAAGAAACAGCAAAAAGCCAAUACCUUUUUGCCUUGACGGUACCCCAGCAGAAAGCUCCGGCCAAUUAUGUGCCAGCAGCCGCGGUAAUACAUAAGGAGCAAGCGUUGUCCGGAAUUACUGGGCGUAAAGGGCGUGUAGGCGGCCAUGCAAGUCAGCUGUGAAACCCCCGGGCUCAACCCGGGACGUGCAGUUGAAACUGUAUGGCUUGAGUGCAGGNAGAGGAGAGUGGAAUUCCUAGUGUAGCGGUGACAUGCGUAGNAUAUUAGGAGGAACACCCAGUGGCGAAGGCGGCUCUCUGGGACUGUAACUGACGCUGAGGNCGCGAAAGCGUGGGGAUCAAACAGGAUUAGAUACCCUGGUAGUCCACGCCG
rnacentral:rRNA from 1 species